UACGUAGGUGACCAGCGUUGUCCGGAUUUACUGGGCGUAAAGAGCGCGCAGGCGGUCGUUCAAGUCGAGUGUGAAAGCCCCCGGCUCAACUGGGGAGGGUCACUCGAUACUGAUCGACUUGAAGGCAGGAGAGGGAAGCGGAAUUCCCGGUGUAGUGGUGAAAUGCGUAGAUAUCGGGAGGGACACCAGUGGCGAAGGCGGCUUCCUGGCCUGUUCUUGACGCUGAGGCGCGAAAGCUAGGGGAGCAAACGGG
rnacentral:rRNA from 1 species